ACUUCAGCACAAAAAGGUAAAGGAACUCGCCUGGGGUUACGCAGCUAGCAAGGGAUGGAGCUGGACCUUGAACCCAGAGAGGCCUCACUCCGAAGCUCCUGCUCCUGGACGCUAGCUUAUGUACUGCCCCCCAGUUAAAGUCCCACUGGAAUCAUGUGAGGGUGCCCUGCUUUUGCUUUCUGCAUGUGGGGACCAUCAACCCUCCUUUCAUUGCCUAAUGGGGCUGAAGAGACACGUCAUCGUCGCUCAGGAAGGAGUCGUGAGGACUCAGCCACAGGUUUUCCGGCCCCGCCCCUAGAAGUGGGUGCAUAUUCCAAAUGCAAGGUUGGGGCGCAGGAGGGGAGGGGUCAGGUGGGAUGGGGUGGGAGAGGCACUCUACUCCUGGACGCCCAGGUUUCCAGUCUUUCAAGUCUAGGCUUUGACGUGGGGCAGACUCCACGUGGGCUCCUCCCGCCUUACUCCUCCGGCUUCACUUCUCUCUGGCUGCUCUCCCUUCCUCCUUUUCUGGACGGGAGGUGGGGGCUCUGCUUAGGAGACGUUCGUGGUCCCCCGGGUCUGCCCCAGCGAGUUUGCAGACAGUCCCUCACAAGGAGUUUCCCUGGGUCUCUCUGCCUAAGGACAGUUUUAGGCCCAGGAAUGUGCUUUGUUCCCAGCAGGGGAUGGGCCAGAGGUGCCAGAGAAUUACGUGCCACGGUUUCCCUGAGGGUCCCCAGUGGGACAGAGCCCAGGCUGCCCACGGUGGUAACCCACUCAUUAACACACCCUUCAUCAGCUUGCCCUUCUUCCCUUCCUCGCCUCCUCUCCCCACAUGCUCCCUGAGGUCACCCCCGUGUGAGUUACGUGUGCUGGAAUCCCCAUCUUAGGGUCAGCCUUGGGGGACACCUGACUCAAGACAGACCGCCUGCCCCGUAGCUGCGGGACAGAAGAGCAGCCAGGAGUCGUCACCAGAGUCAGCCUGCCUCCCUUCCCACUGAAGGUCAAGUGCGUCUUGACGAGCUGUACGUUUCACAGCUUCUGCCAGGAUUUCAUUUCGUGCUCUCAGUCGUUCUGCGGUGGACACUGGCUGGGUAGAGUCAACCCAUUCGCUCCACGCCUGUGAACACCGCGGCUCAGAGAGGCGAAUGCAGUGCCUGAUAGGAAGACGCCAGGCAGCCGCCGCGCACCCUUGCAGGUUUGCAUGGCGCUGCACUCCGCAGAGAGCCCAGCCCUGAGUGGGUGCUCAACCCACACGAGUUCUCUUUUCUCUUCUGACUUUUUUUAUUCCUAUAAAAGGUCUUAAAAUCAUUUUGUCAAUGGAGUUUGGCCAUGUUUCAUAAUCAAAAAACGCAGACACACCUGAAGCAUUUCCUUUUCCGAGGUGAAUGUGUGCAUUUGGUUCAGAAAUUCCCCUCCAGGUUCGCCCCUGCUUUUCCCAGGCGAGGUCUCUGGAUCAGCCCAAGCUCACUCUGGACACGCGCCGUCUCCUGGCUGCCGACUGCCCCCCGGCCUGACUCCAAGCUGCUCUCAGGCUCCCGAAGCAGUGGACGACCAGCGGUACAGGGAGCCCGACAAAGGGACGGACCACGGACGCAGCCGCCUCCUCCCAAAACCCUACCCAGGAAGGCAGAGGGAUGAGAGUGUCUGUGUGUGUGUGCCGACUCUGCAGAUGAGGAGACUGGGGCUCAGAGAGGUUAAGACAUUUGUCAAGGUUACACGUCUCGAGCCAGAUUAAAACAAGCUGCUGCUGUUUUCCAGAGUUGUAACUUCAGACCCCCUCGCCCCCCUCCCCAGCCUUCCCUCUGCCUCCUGCUCCUGGUCACCUGCCCUUAAGUGGAUCGUGUCGGCAGACGCAGGGGUGGCUCACCCAUGACCCCUUCGCACACCUGCCCUCUCACGGGCACAGAGCAGGUGCGGUCCUUUCCCACCGAGAGCACAGUUGAGGCAGCGACCCCGCCGCUCAGGCUGCUGGCCCUGGACAUGGUCGUCCUCCCAACACCUUAGAAGAAAGAAAUGCUUCUCGGGCCUCAGAACUCGUCCUGAACAAACCCGAGAUCCAUAAUGAGCUCUGGGAAGAGGCAUGAGUGUAGGAGAAAUCUGUCCACACUGCUGGGCCAAGCCUCCGGACAAGCACGAGGAGACCCAGCAGUGUUUUUGUUUUAAUCCCGAAGAAGAAAAAACCACCUUUGAUUAGAUUAAAUAUGCUUUGAGUAGGGCCCGAAGUCCUCAGCUUUAAUGUGCAUGAGAUCUGAAACCCAAGAUGUUUUCAGAGGCUUUGAGAGCGGCCCUGACAGCACGCGACACCUGCUCUCUCGGUCCGUGGGCUGUCGAGGGCCGGGCAGCGGAGAGGGGCUCCCUGACGUGGCUGCAGCCCGGCCCCAGGGGUAGCGGGAAGAGCACGGGCCGGCACCUGCCCGCGGCUCCGGUUCUCCCUCAAGCACGCACGCUCAGAGGGCACGUGUCUGCCACUCCCUCACCUGCGUGAGGGGAGAUGUCAUCUCCCACCCCUGGAACGAACGCCACGACUGAGACGGGCAGGUGACCUCGGGAAGAAGCUGGCGGUGGACGCUGACCCCACGGCCUUGAACCGACAGCCACUGAGAGGGGACACAGGCGCCACUCCAGGGCUCGCGCACGGGCAGGCGUCCUCCCCUCAUCCCUCCCAAGUGGCUCCAGAACAAGCUGCAGAAUUUCCCUGUUGCAGAAUUUCUGAGAGAAUUGUAGACCCGAGAGCUGGAAGGGGCCUCGUGAGCUGGCGCGAGCCCCUUUCCUUCCAGCAGGGGCAGAUCUGUGCCUCCUGCUUUGUGAACGAGGUGACUGCGGUGCUGAGUCUGGUGGUUGCUGUGCUGACGUGACCAGCAGGCGACGCUGGUGUGGAGGCUGGGGGAUCCUUGCCUUCUGUUACCCCAAACUGCUUCUCACAUGUAGAAGAUGCCACCAUCAUGCAGAGUAUGAAUCAGGAAACAUGAAAGUCAUGAAAAAAGGCACGCAGGACCCACAGGAGCCUUGGCAGCCAAGUCUGAAGGAUGUCACCCCUGGCGCACAGUGGGUCCCCGCACACUGACAGUGGAGGCUGGGCAAAGGUGACCGGCGACAAAAGCAGUGAGCUUGAAGGCCGCGAGACUGGCCCGUUGGGCCUGGGUUUGCGCGCAGACCGUAUGUGGCCGGUGGAUGCGCGGUGCCUCUGAGAUGUCACAAAAGUUGGAUGGAUGGAUGAAAGAAUGACCAGUCACACUGAGAGGAGCAAAUGCCUGCAAAUGGACUCUUUCCAUCCAUGUGCCUUGUCUUCGCCUAGUUAAUCAUCGCCAGACGAAGAACGGAGCCGGUGGGUCUGGGGGCCGUGACGUCCACCUUCCGUCUUGCUCAGCGUUGCUUCUCCUGGAGACGCGGCUUCACCCUGGGUGAUGCCUCCUGGCUACAAGUAUUACCACUUGCAAAGAGGGAAAAGAGAAAUAACCUGAAUAUUUGGGAUUCCAAAAGUUGUCUUGUACGAAGUAACUGGAAGUUUCCUAUCUCCUCUUUCUGGCCAUGGGGCAAGAAGGAGAGAGAGAAGUAAGGGAGGGAACGGGGCUGGAUAACCUGAAAAUGGCCGGAAGACUCCCUGACCGCUGGAAACCCGGCAUUCCGUCGAGAAGUCAUUUUGCUCUGUCCUCGGAGCUUGGGGCUGCGGGUUUCAGGGCAGGUGGGGGCCGGCCCCAAAGGGAACAAAGUGAGAUGGGGACGGACGGCUUCUUCACUCUCACCCACAGAGCUCGGACACUGCUGAGAACAGCGUGUUUACCAGCUCGCGGGCGGCAGUGCCGCGUUGUGUUUUAAUCACACUUCCCUUACUUCCUUAUUGUUCAUUGGGCACAAGCCUCCCUUGACUUUACAGUCUACAAAGUUCACAACCAAGAGAAUGAAAAGAACAGGUUUGCAGGCCUUGCGACGGGGCCCGGGACCUCCCUGGAGCCUGAAAUUAGGGGUUUGACGACACGUCUGCUUCCCUUCCACCUCCAAAUGGUAACAAAGUAGGGAUAAUGGAGGGGUUCCAUCUUCCCCGCUGGGCCCCAGCACCCUGAAAUGCCGUUAGGAUGAAAACACUGCUGUUUGUCAAGAGUAGAGAGCAGUAUUUUUUCAACGCGUGAUUUUUGGAACUCCAGCCCCAGUAAAUACCCUGCGGGUACCAGUCAGCGGUCAGUCUUAGUGAGACACAGCGCCAUGUUCCUCAUCCCUCCCGCCGCCAGCAUCCAGCUGUCCCACGCCGCCUUCCUGCAGCCGUUCACGUGGGGCUCUUGGUCCGGUCCCACAUGCUCCAGGGUCAGGAAGCUGCCAUUGGUCCCCCAGCGUUCGGGAGCCCUCACUAGUGCUGGCCCUGUGCUCCAGGCUGGGGACCCCCAGGAGGAGUGGCCCUAGGCAGGGGGCAGACUUACUGAGGGGGUGGCAGUCCUGUGCAGAAGGACCGGACCAUGUGUGAUGGCAGCGGGGACAACGCAGUGAAGAGGCCACUGAUGGUUAAUUCAUGGUUACCCUGGGGCGCCAGGCAGAAACGUACUGAGCUGACAGAGGGCUUGCUUUUGUCUCUCAUUCCAGGGGCCACGUCUAAGGCCGAUGGGCAGUAGUAACAAGGAAGAGGGUUCAGUUAAAAUUAAAGGGGGCUUUCUAACCAAGAGCCUCCAACAACAGUGUGGGCUGCUCUCCGAGGAGCGGGCACCUCGGCACUGCAGCGAUGCAGGAGGGCAGCUGACAGCCCACCCUCCUAGAUGUGUGCGGGAGACACUGACAUGCCAGGGAGCUGCGGGGGCUGGGUGGCCCCGGGUGGCCUGUGACCUGAGGCACCCACUCUGCUUUGCCCUCUCUGGGGGUGAGGGUUAGUUGCUUAUCUCAGAUGUGAGGACCCAGUCCUGCCAAUCUGGUCCACGCUUGCGCACACGGAUAAAAGUAGAAAUGCAACAGGACUGAGAGAUUUAAAACUUGCCAUUUUGUAUAAUUAAUACUUUCUUGUGCCUAUAUAUAAUGUAAAUAUCUGUUUAAAAUGAGGCUAGAUUUCACUCUAUAGUCUUGACUUUAAAUAGUCUGUCAUUCUGUGACACACUAGCAAAAUACGGUCAUGACAAUUUGACCAGGUUUGAAGUGGAUCAGAAUUGGUUCUGAAAAGCCAGCCUAGAUCACUUGGAUCGAGUCUGGUCCAGAACAGUUGCUUUCUGGUUGUGUACAAUGUUCACAUCAAGGGAAGAAGGGCAGGAAUAAAAGGAAAUUCUUUGUA